ensembl:lncRNA
CUUUGGUACCCAUACCGGCAGCUGUGGCCACAUCAUGCACUCUCACUGCUGGCAGAGGUCUUUGAAUAUCAAUGAUGCAAACAGGGAGGAGAAAUAUAACAGAACGAAAGACCAACAAUCAGAAUCAGCAGAUCGCCAAGAUGGAUAUCUGGGGCGUCAGGAUGCCACCAAUGUUAGUGGAGUACUUUGCCACGUUGCGCCAACAGUCGGAAGAUUACCAAGCUGCGCUACGAAAGCAGCAGGACGCCAGGAAUUACCUGGGCUUCAACUUACCGCCUAUGUUCAUGCAGGACUACGCCAUGCUACGCCAACAGGAGGAGGAGUCCAGGUACAAGGGGGAGUUUGUGUUCAGUACAGAGACCCAGCCCGGGACCGACAGGGUGACCUCAGAGCUCGAACCUGAGCUCCACGAGGUGGGCUCACCUGCCGGCAAAGGGUCAGCGGGGAGGCACUAGCACCAGGCUUUGAUGUCCGAGUCCCAGUCAAGUCUCAAGUCCCUAAGGUCCCAGCCAAGCCUCGCGUCCCUGAGGUCCAAAUCAAGCCUCGCGUCCCUGAGUUCACGUUCAGGCCUACUGACCCAAAUGACCAAAUGCCGCUCACGCCCAGCCAAGCUCCGCUCACGCCACAGUCCGCCGACACGCACCGCCAAGCUCCGCUCACGCCACAGUCCGCCGACACGGCCAGCCAAGCUCUGCCUAUGCCCAAGGUUCACAUAGUGACCUCAGAGCCUCAGCCUCCCCGUUCAGCUGAGGUCGUCGCUCAGCCUCCCCGUUCAGCUGAGGUUGUCGCUCAACCCGCCUGCUCCAUGGCAACUAGAGUUCCCCCCUUCUGCUUCGAGGAGACCCACGCUCCUCUCCCUGGCCGCACGGGGGACUUCUCUCAGCCUUCCAGUUCAGCUGGGGACGUCGGACCGCUUUCAUGCUCUGCCGAGGAAAUAUCUCAGCCUCCCUGUGCCAUUGUAGAAGCCGCCCGGCCUCCUGAUUUUGCGGGGGACAUUUUCUCCAGGGGGCCAGGACCACCAGAUGGAGGACGUAUAAUUUUGGGGGAGGGUUCUGUCACGUAUCAGGAAGCUCUGGACUCCACUUCCCAUCAGCCACUGCACUGCACUACAUGUCACAUGACCACCUGCACCUGAUUCACGUUUUGGUUAAUGAGCACUCGUGUAUAUAUAGCCAUUGUCUGCACUGAUUCACUGUCUUUUGUUGUAUUAGACUACCAUGUUACAUGUUUUGUUUCAUGCCACAGUAUUUUGCCUAGUUGUCG